rnacentral:rRNA from 1 species
GACGAACGCUGGCGGCGUGCCUAAUACAUGCAAGUCGAACGAGAGCGACCGGUGCUUGCACUGGUCAAUCUAGUGGCGAACGGGUGAGUAACACGUGGGUGACCUGCCCAUCAGAGGGGGAUAACAUUCGGAAACGGAUGCUAAAACCGCAUAGGUUCUACAGUCGCAUGACUGAAGAAGGAAAAGAGGCUUCGGCUUCUGCUGAUGGAUGGACCCGCGGUGCAUUAGCUAGUUGGUGAGGUAACGGCUCACCAAGGCCGUGAUGCAUAGCCGACCUGAGAGGGUGAUCGGCCACAUUGGGACUGAGACACGGCCCAAACUCCUACGGGAGGCAGCAGUAGGGGAUCUUCCGCAAUGGACGCAAGUCUGACGGAGCAACGCCGCGUGAGUGAAGAAGGAUUUCGGUUCGUAAAACUCUGUUGUUAGAGAAGAACAGCGCAUAGAGUAACUGUUAUGCGUGUAACGGUAUCUAACCAGAAAGCCACGGCUAACUACGUGC